CGCCCAUGGUGAAUCAGUGACACUAACCACCCUGAAUCCAUAUGACCGAUCUCUUUCGAGAGUGAGGCGUGUGGUGGAUGCGUGGGACCUGAUCUGGUAGUAGCCAAGCGAU
rnacentral:rRNA from 1 species